GACGGAAGGUGCAAGCGUUGCUCGGAAUCACUGGGCGUAAAGGGUGCGUAGGCGGCCGCGCAAGUCUGGCGUGAAAGCCCCGGGCUCAGCCCGGGAAGGGCGCUCGAAACGGCGCGGCUCGAGUGCCGGAGGGGAGAGUGGAAUUCCUGGUGUAGCGGUGAAAUGCGUAGAUAUCUGGAGGAAUACCGGUGGCGAAGGCGGCAUCCUGGACCGAAACUGACGCUGAGGCGCGAAAGCUAGGGGAGCAAACGGG
rnacentral:rRNA from 1 species